rnacentral:rRNA from 1 species
CCGAGAAUAUUCCGCAAUGGACGAAAGUCUGACGGAGCGACGCCGCGUGCUGGAUGAAGUGCUUCGGUACGUAAACAGCUUUUAUCGGGGACGAAAUUAUUGACGGUACCCGGUGAAUAAGGGCUUACUAACUCUGUGCCAGCAGUAGCGGUAAUACAGAGAGCCCGAGCGUUACCCGGAAUCACUGGGCGUAAAGGGUGUCCAGGCGGUCGUAUUAGUCGUUUGUAAAAUCCGCGCGCUUAACGUGCGGUCCGCAAGCGAAACGGUACGACUCGAGGGCGCGAGAGGUGCAUGGAACUCAUGGUGGAGGGGUGAAAUCCGUUGAUAUCAUGGGGAACACCAAAGGCGAAGGCAGUGCACUAGCGCGUUCCUGACGCUCACACACGAAAGCCAGGGUUUCGAACGGGAUUAGAUACCCCCGUAGUCC